GUUCAGUAUAUCAAGAUCUUGGGGCAGUGGAACAAAAUGGUGCUUUAGAGAACCAAGUUCAUCAAAGACUUAAAGGUGGGCAAAGAUACCUAAGAAUGGUCUUAAAAAUACCACACCAUAUCUAUCCUGAUAUAUUUAGAAAGUUACAAUACUAUUGCAUCACUGCAUAAUUUUGCUAAAUAUUAAACUCAUUCUUCAACUUGUAUGAGUCACUGGAGGAGUGAAUUAUU